CCUACGGGUGGCAGCAGUGGGGAAUAUUGCGCAAUGGGCGAAAGCCUGACGCAGCGACGCCGCGUGAGGGAUGAAGGUCUUCGGAUCGUAAACCUCUGUCAGCAGGGAAGAACGGUCACUGUGCUAAUCAGCAGUGAAUUGACGGUACCUGCAAAGGAAGCACCGGCUAACUCCGUGCCAGCAGCCGCGGUAAUACGGAGGGUGCGAGCGUUAAUCGGAAUUACUGGGCGUAAAGCGCUCGUAGGCGGUAUGUCAAGUCAAGGGUGAAAGCCCCGGGCUCAACGUGGGAACUGCCUUUGAAACUGGCAAACUGGAGUGUGUGAGAGGAUAGUGGAAUUCCAGGUGUAGGAGUGAAAUCCGUAGAUAUCUGGAGGAACAUCAGUGGCGAAGGCGACUAUCUGGCACAUAACUGACGCUGAGGAGCGAAAGCGUGGUUAGCAAACAGGAUUAGAUACCCGAGUAGUC
rnacentral:rRNA from 1 species